GACGUAGGGCGCGAGCGUUGUCCGGAUUUAUUGGGCGUAAAGAGCUCGUAGGCGGCUUGUCGCGUCGACUGUGAAAACCCGUGGCUCAACCAUGUGGUCUGCAGUCGAUACGGGCAGGCUAGAAUUCGGUAGGGGAGACUGGAAUUCCUGGUGUAGCGGUGAAAUGCGCAGAUAUCAGGAGGAACACCGGUGGCGAAGGCGGGUCUCUGGGCCGAUAUUGACGCUGAGGCGCGAAAGCCAGGGGAGCAAACGGG
rnacentral:rRNA from 1 species